GUCCCGUUCUUUCCAGAAAGUGACAGAACGUCUUGGGAUGUCUGAGCCACUGCCAGACGGUGACAGAUCUUGCAAGACCUGCCUCCCCUCUCAUCUCUCAGGAACUCGGCUGAUUGAAGGAAGCCACCUGUUCCAAGGCUGCUGACUUUCCCUGUGAUCAAGAAAUAACCACACAGGGGAGAGCAAUCUCUUUGUUAGUUCUGGGUAGAAGUGUUUAUUUUUAUCCAGGGUAGAAGUGUUUAUCCAGGGGAAGAUAACAGAAGAACCUGGCAGGAACAUGACUGACAGCUCUGCAUGGAAAUAAAGCUAUACCAGGAAGCCAUUCCAGUGUGGUCAUGAAAUGAAGGAGACACAUGCUGUGCUGGCAAUAGUGUAGGAGCCACGGGAUGAGCAGCAACUCCAUGCCAUGUCCCCUGAUUGCUCCACAAGCCACUCUGGGCUACACCCCAAACAUUGCAGCUUACUGCUUUGGAAACCCAAAUAGGGCACCAGUCUGUGCUCGGUGGCAGGCCUCUGGUCAUAAAUAAAACAGAAUGGAAGGCAUUUGAUGGUUAUCAUAGAAAUGGGCUUUCCUUACCUGGAGUUUACCUGCCUAAAAACAUCCACAGGGGGAAACAAAAUAUCCGUUAGGAUUUAAUAACUCAUUUCACAUGUGGUUUUUAAUCUCAAAACUUGAUUUUUUCCCCUAAGUACUCAUGCUUUAGUGUAUCUGUUUGUAUCUCUUUCAGAUUUUAAACAUAACCAUCUUAAGGAAUAUCUAAAGAGCAAAAUAUUUUCACAGUUGAUAACCUAAGAUGAACUGUCAUUAAACAAUUUAGUAUGCUUCUUCAGCACUCAGCUCUGUGGGGUGAAACGGUCAACAAGAUGAGGAUGUACUUUGCCUCCCGGGGCAGUCACUUAAUAUGGGACAGACCAGAGGACUUGACAUCCUGUGACUUGUGACAAAGUGCUAGCAAACUUUGAUCUAUAAUCCAUUUUUAGGGAAAUUCACCUUUCGUGUUAAAAAAAAAAUCAGAUCUGCAUUCCCCUGAUCUCAUUUCAUUUAUAUAAAAUAUGAAUGAAGAGACAAGUUAACUAGAGCUAAUAAAUAAAUUGUUUUUGGGAAUGUACUUUAUUUCAUCUAAUGAUUUGAAUUCAAAUAUGCUUGAAGGAAAAGAAAAAGCAAAACAAUGAUCAUUUGAAAGUUAUGCAUUGCUGAUGGUUGCAAACAAACUCAAAGGCUGGGCUAUUUGGCAUGACCGUGAAGCUGGAGGAUGCUGAGUACAUGCCAAUGUUGAUAAGUACAGUCCAUCCCUUCUGCAUUAUGUCCACAUCUUUGGGACUUCGGGUCUGGCAAAAAGAAUGGGGAGUUUAUCUUGUUGGAAGAUAUGAGUUGGGAAACCAACCCAAAUGAAAUCGUGGAAGCCAAAGAGUGAAAGAGUUCUAGAAGUUUUCUAAUCUUUCCUUUGCUUUUAGUUCGAUGAUGUUACAUGCCUGUAUGUACUUAUUAUCGUAAGACAUUUUUUGAAGAGUAUCUAGAAUUGCAAAGACACUAUUAAGAUGAUAAUAUUAAUGA